UUAGGUUAAGUUAGGAAGGGCGCAUGGUGGAUGCCUUGGUACUAGGAGCCGAUGAAGGACGGGACUAACACCGAUAUGCCUCGGGGAGCUGUAAGUAAGCUUUGAUCCGGGGAUUUCCGAAUGGGGCAACCCAAUAGUUUUAAUCGACUAUUAUCCGCAUCUGAAUUCAUAGGAUGUGUGAAGGUAAACGUGGGGAACUGAAACAUCUCAGUACCUGCAGGAAGAGAAAGAAAAUUCGAUUCCCUGAGUAGCGGCGAGCGAAACGGGAAGAGCCCAAACCAACAAGCUUGCUUGUUGGGGUUGUAGGACUGAACAUUUGAGUUACCAAAGAGCUUGAUAGCUGAAGGGCCUGGGAAGGCCAGCCAGAGAGGGUGACAGCCCCGUAAGUUAAAUCAAGCUCCCUCAGUUCAGGAUCCUGAGUACGGCGGAGCACGUGAAAUUCCGUCGGAAUCCGGGAGGACCAUCUCCCAAGGCUAAAUACUACCUAGUGACCGAUAGUGAACCAGUACCGUGAGGGAAAGGUGAAAAGCACCCCGGAAGGGGAGUGAAAUAGUUCUUGAAACCAUGUGCCUACAAGAAGUCAGAGCCCGUUAAUGGGUGAUGGCGUGCCUUUUGUAGAAUGAACCGGCGAGUUACGUUCGUAUGCCAGGUUAAGUUGAAGAGACGGAGCCGAAGCGAAAGCGAGUCUGAAGAGGGCGAAUUAGUAUGCGGAUGUAGACCCGAAACCAAGUGACCUACCCAUGUCCAGGUUGAAGGUGCGGUAAAACGCACUGGAGGACCGAACUCGUGUACGUUGAAAAGUGCUGAGAUGAGGUGUGGGUAGCGGUGAAAUUCCAAACGAACUUGGAGAUAGCUGGUUCUCUCCGAAAUAGCUUUAGGGCUAGCCUCGGAAUUAGGAUCGUGGAGGUAGAGCCACUGUUUGGACUAGGGGCCCGUCAUGGGUUACCGAAUUCAGAUAAACUCCGAAUGCCAUCGAUUUAUGUCCGGGAGUCAGACGGUGAGUGAUAAGAUCCAUCGUCGAAAGGGGAACAGCCCAGACC
rnacentral:rRNA from 1 species